GGGAGGGGCGAACGUAACGUAUGUAACCAUGACAUAACUGUAAUAUAUACACGAGUGUUUGUGACACACGAUUAUGCCGUCUGAUGGGAUUUCAAGCCCCCUUCUCGUGAACUGGAAUCGGUGCCAGGCAAUCAGGCGUGUUAAUGGAACUGGCUUGUGAGGCGCAAACGUAUAAGGAGGGCUGCCGAUCGAGAGGUGACUCACUCGCAACGUCGCCCGUAUUAAAAUUCUUUCGCUCAGCUGAACCACAAUGGGGUACGCUAAUCGUCAAACAAGGAGAGCGCUUUUUCUCACUGAAUCUCUGAUCCCAGAAAAAGGAAAAACCAUGAGCAGGAUAAAACGUGUUUCCCAUCAGCGCUCCAUUCAGCUACUAACGCCUAUGCAAUUGGCUGCACCGGUGGAAUGGGGCUGGAAUAGUGAGCGUUUGCCCCGGCGGUUUGAAAAUCGGUGCCGUCGACGGCUGUUGCCAACAAGGCGCUUGGAGCGGCGUAUGCCCGGAGGCAUCCCUGCGAGAUGCGGAGAUGCUGUCGCAGUCGGGGCCAGAUGUGCUGCCGCGCGUGAUUCAUCCGAACCACCAUGAGCGUUCGCAAUUAUGGAACAAUUGAGUUCAACUGGUGGCUCUGGUCUCUCUCCCGAGCUCUGAGGCGCUGUCUUCUGUCUCCGGGUUGUCUGGUGGGUGGCUCGCCCUCUGCUCUCUGAUCCUCUCCCUGCUCUGUCGGCCAAGCCGGCGGAGGUCAGAGGGUUCGGAUAGCGCUCGGCAGCGUCAUCCGUUAGCUCACCGCCGGCUGCCGGGCUUGUGGAGCACAAUCCAUCCGCCGCGCAUGCUGCGACGCUCCUCCGAGUGACUAAUUAUAGCCUCGGUGCAGCCUCAUCAAGCGCCCGUGCACCAAAGCGCGCAUUCACGUAAAUGAGCAGCAGAGAUUCGUCUGACCUCUUUCUGGCGAGGCCCCUCAGAGCGUCUGCCUCGUAACCGGCCUGUGGUUCCGCAGACAGUGACGAGGCUCUGUCAUUGUGCGAUGGAAUGAAUGGGCCCGUCGACACUCGCAGUGAACAGUGCCGUCUCUUUACAGGGAGGGCUGAAGGGAGCGCACUGUCCUCCGAAUGAAUGUCCCCGCCGCCCGCCUGAGAGGGUUUCCCUGCUGUUUUAAGGACAGCAGGGAAACACUCUGUUGUGCUGGGGUGUAUGAAGGUAGGUACGGUGCACUCGUCUUCUUCUAGCCUGCGGCAUGCGCAGUCGUGCGGCCGUAUGCGUUUGUUAACAUAGCGCAUUUCUAAAGAAGCGAGGCUGUGAACAGACGACGACGUUCCUCCUCUUGAUUGCGAGACACUCAGUGUGUUUUUUAGAAUGUUUAUUUGCUCGAUAAUGUUCAAUCAGGUGUUCUGAUCAAAUGCGGUGGAAACAUUGUUGAACAAAAAUGUGGCUUAUAUUCCAGUGUAGCCUCUUGGUUUUAAACUGUAACAUCCGAUGAACAUUCCCUGAAAAUGAACCUGUGGCAAGCGGUUCUAGGGGGGCAAAGGAAAAAAGCACAUUUCAAAGGCGGAAGUUGGCUGGCAUCACGGUGGACUGAGAUUAAUGGCACUUCAGGAGAGAGAAAAUAGUCCAUGAAUCCACAUUCUCUUUCAGAGGCAUUCUCAAGGAGAGGUGAUUAUGGGUCUGAACUGAAGAGAAAUUGAAAUGGGGUACAUUUCGCACCCAUACUGCACCCACGCCGUUUGCCCCUAGACCUUUCAAAAACGAUUAGACUGUUUUUUAAGGACUCUUGUCAGAAAAGUGCAAAAAGUACAAAAAAAUAUUUGCCUGAGCCACGUUCACUCACUUUGUUUUCACUACCCGCGUGUCAUUAGAUUCUGAUUCACUGUGGCUGCAGCUAAUUACACAGUCAGCAGAUGGGAUAUCCUUCAUGGCACAGUACUCACUGCUCUGUGAGUGGAGAAAUUUAAGGUGCACUUCUGCAGAUUUACAGUUUCUGAAAUCAAAUAAAAACGCUCGGAAAAUGAACAGAAAUGGCAAAGUAAUUUGAUUGGAAACAAACCUCUAACUCAAAUGAAUUCAUGUGCCUGUUAAUCAUUACAAAAAUGCAAACAUGACAUAAUCCUUAUUGUAUUUCUUUUGAAAGUAGUGGUCAUUUGACAAACUUUAAGGGCAAUAAAGAGAAAUUACACACCUCAUAGCAAAGGAAACCACCACUGUAGCGCAUAUCCGAACACACAUCCUGGAUUUAUUAGCGUGAAUCGGUAGAAACACCGACACACACGUGGACCCCCAAACCGUAGGUUGUAUAACGGUCAAAACCAUUUUAUAUAUGCGGAGGCUUAUCUACACAUAAUGGUCCCUGGGUGAUUUGAAAACAAUUAGUUCAAUGAAGAAAAACUGCCGUUUCCCAUAGGAUGAUGUCUGUGCUAUACUUUUAUUGGCCUCCUUACCAUUUAUUUAUUCCCUCCUAUUAAUUCUCAGUCAUUUAUCACAUUACAUGUCGGCCCCCGCUGCCAGAGCAAGAGUUUUGGCUGUCCUCUAUUUUGGGGGGGGUCUAAUCUUAAUUGGAAACUGCUGUAGGGGGAAGAUUGCUGUGCGAGGAAGAAAAGUGGCAAACAAGAGGAGGGAGGGGAGGAAGAGGAAGAGAAAAGGAGACAGACAGAUAGACAGAGAGAUGACAACGUAAUAUAUCAAAUAUGAGGUUCCCCGUUAAAACCAGACAAGCAGCAAAUCACUCGUACCCCCGGCUCUUUCUGGCCCCUGCUCUAUUCUUCCCCUCUUUAGCAAGAGUGCAGCUGGACAGCGUAACACAUCAUUUUUUAAGGGGGGAGGCCUAGAAGUGUUUGUGUGCGAAUGCAUAUGUGGAAAGACAAGGUCAAGGGUCAUCCAGUUACCAAAGGUCAGAGAGGAAGCCCCGUCUGUACGAUAUGACGGGGGCCGGCACCGGGGGGAACCCGAUUAGGUGCUGAAUGCGCAGGACAGACAGCAACAUAAACAGAGAUUACAGAGGUGACAGAAACCCCCAGAACGUCAGCGCCCGGGCCACCACCCCCCCCCCAAGCAAUGAGGGGAAGUGGAGCGGCACGCAGACAUCGUGACGGCAGCGUUUGCUUCGGUUUGGUACCGAACUCUUCAUGUAAAUCAGGAAAUGUUGUCCCACGUCAGUGUCAGUCUCAUCGCGAAGAUGAUUGUCGACGACACCGCGCUACUUCUCUGCCAAAGUUCUGGAAGAGGGCAGUGGAUGAGGAUGUCACCUCAACAUUACUUUCAGGUUUGCAUUCGUUCUGAUCAUAAGGCUAUGAAUAGUGGCAGCAGUGAGCGCAAAAUGAAUAUAGACUAAGAACUGUUGUAAUCUCCUCCUGGACGUUUCCUAAUUCUCCGAUAUCUAAUCAUUUUGGCCACUUUGGAGCAGAAAUGGGCUGUAAGCACAACCCUGAGUAAUCAGAUUACAAAAAUGUUACCAAAAAACGAAUAUAUAUUUUCAGCAACUGAACUAAAGCUAAACAGUUGGGUGCCAACACUGACCUACACCGAUAUGAAGUGGGAUAUAAUUUCUUUCAACAUCUCAAGAGUUUUUCAGUCUGUAAAACAUGUAAUAAAAACCUGCCUCCCCCGGCCUCAAGGAGCUACUAAAGCAAACUUAAUAAUUUUAUUAGAAUGAUUCUCGCUGCACAGUUUUAGUGCUCCGCGGUGGCCCUUAAAGCCCAGAUUUUUUCCACCCUGUGAAAACAAACUAAUUUCUUGAAUUUCUGGCACAAGACUAUCCGUACGCACAUCACCACUGACAUAGGUGUGUCGAACACAGUUCAGCUUCGGAGCGAACGCACGCAUAACGGGAGGCUUUUAUGAGCGUGUGAGCAUAUCUCGCAGGCUCAACACGACGCGCCCAAUAAGAGAACAUGGGAGGUGUCCACUCAAUCUUGUGUUUCACAUUACCACCGGACUUUUAUGAGAUCAUGCCUCGGCCGCGCCGCAGAUACAAUCAUGAUUGACAGCUCUCGUUGCGCAAGAAGAAAAGCCGCCGUUGAGAUCCAUGUUUUUAAAUCAAACUAUUAUUCCAGUAUAUGAGCUUCAGCUCAGCUUAACAGCUGCUGACGUUCAAUCACGCUCCCUUUAAUGGAAGAGAAUUUGCGAGCUAGCAAACAUGGCCCCUGUCUUGUCCUGGCAAGCGCGCACUGCAGCAGCCCCAGCUUUGGCUUGUGUGAGCCACCAUCUGCUUUGAAUUGUGAAACAGUUGAGACAGAGCUGUGGUCGGCAGGAGGAGGAGGCUUGGAUCUCAUCUGGAUCUAAUAGGGCGAUGAGAGUAAACCGAGCCAUCCCGAAAAGUGCCUGAGGGCCGCAUGCCAGAAGUGGUCCGUGGAGGUGGGCGAGGGGUCACUUUCGUAGCAACGACGUAUAUGCCUGAUAUGUUACUGUAUGAGGCACGGAGAGAGAAUCCCUUUUCCAACACCACAGUCUGAAGCCUAGAAAAUAUUGGUAACGAAGUGUGUCAACAGCUUACAUAACUGGAGAUAUGUGCAGUAUUGCCCCUCGCUCAUCUCGUUUACAAAAAGCUUACUGCGGGAAAUCCAAUACCGCUGCUCCAACUGGGCGAAAACAUCCCCAAAUUAAUUCGCUCAGCUCUGUACACUCUAAUAGAUUCACUGUUUAAUAGCCAGCUGGAAUAAGCACUCCCCUCCCAUUCAACAAUAAGUUAUCUACAGCUCAAUGCCAACCGAUUUUCACUCCUAAUGGCCAUUGCUUUGGAAAUGGACAAAUAAGCAAAAGGGAAACACAGACAGUGGCCGUCGCACGGCCUCAUCAGCGGUGUAGACUAUUCAUCAGUCGGAAAAAGUUCAUCUCCAUUAGUCAGCAUUACCCUGCUACCUCGGCCGAGUCCCCGGAGUAAUGGCCCGUAGAUGGAGCCCAUUCACAGUCGUUACCGGAGGCAGCUCACCCAAGACCCAGUGCAAUACGUCACUCUGCGGCUGGCAGCGAGCCACCGGGACGGACAGGCCCCGAUCCGAGCCCCCCAGGCUACCUGUGGCACCUUAUCUGAGGCGCCGUCUCUGACAACCGUUCACACUUUGUGGAACAAAACAGACUGUGAGUUAUGUGAAUAUGCCUCGAAGAUUUAGAACUGCAGUGGAUAAAAAGUAGGCUUUCUGCACUCCCCGUACACAUGUAUGGAUGUGUAUGAGAUGGGACGACCUGACCGUCAGGGGCAGAGAGCUCUGCUGCUGCUGCUGCUGCUGCUGCUGCUGCUGCUGGGACAGAGGAGGAUAACAUUCCUGACAGGUCAAAGGGCAAACGCCCCACUUCCUGCCACUCAGGAUGAUGGGACUGGAGGAGCAUGAGGGGGAGUCAGGGGCGUGAAAGGGAGGGACAUCAUCGGUAUGAUAUUUGUUGCAGCUGUGACCAUGCCCCCCGUCUUCCUCUCCCCUCCGCCCAUCCUGCCCUAGCCUCGUUUCCUUUCCUCCUGCUUGGGAACAUUAGUAUUGGUUGUCUGCAUCGUAUCAUCUGCUGCCUCUUGAUCUCCCAGCAAGCGUCGACCGCUAUGAACUGUUUCCUCAGCUUUAUCGCCCGGACACUUCGGGUCCCCCCGUGUCACCGCACAGGUCCGUUGAGUCCUCCUCCCUGGUUUCUGUUUCUCACAGGGCCUCCCGGUGCCAUCCAAUCCCCAGUGAGCUGCUGCGGAUGGAGGUGAUUUACUGGUGGCCCCUCUGUUUGUUUUCCCUUCCCCUGCUGUUGGUCCUGCUAAGCGCCCUGCUUAGCUACUUAGCUGGCGAGGGGGUGCCUCUGUGUGUGCAUGUGUGUGUGAAUGUGCCACAAGUUCCACCAGUCUCCCACCUAUGAGCGAAAAAAAACACCCUCUAGGCCUAUGUGACUUAUUUUCAAUAAACUUAAGCAACGGUGGUUCCAAGAUUGUCUAAGUCGGAGGUAUUCGGGUUUUAUUGAAAUAACCUGGAGCAUCCAUGGAGCGUGACGAAUUUGAUUUAGCUGACAAAGCUGGCUCACACUGACUCCGACAGCAGACCUGAGGCCGGCCCCUGUGUAUCAGCUAUGGAGUGCCAGUGGUCCAUUAGAAGUGCUAAUGUCAUCGUUUGAUAUAUGCUGCCCCGAAAGAUGUUUCCCGAGCAGGUAGCAAGGGCUUGGCCUCCAUUUACACACACACACACACACACACACACACACACACACGAGUGAAUGUAAGCACUCUAUCUAUUUCACACAGAGAUAAACAAAGGCGUCACCGCAUUACCGGUGUUCAUCUAAUUGGCCACAUUGCCUGAGGGGGAGGGGCCGCCGGGGUCACGCUGCUCUCUCUGGGCGCCCAUUACUCGCUCAGUUAAGCCCAGCACCACGUGGCACGGCCCGAGUGUGGAUACACUUGUCACUGAGACAGCCUAAUUAGAAGCAGCCGUCCAGCGCCUGACCCCCUCCGCCCCCGCCCCCGACACCACCUGAGAGGCAGAGCCCGGACCCACCUGUUCCCUGCGGACGCCUCGUGGAGAAUUGAGAGGUCCUGCGCGCCGCUUCUGUCGCUCACAGUCUGCCUUAUCAAAUAUUCAGUACGCCGGGAGUCACGUUGAUGGAUUUUUGCAUGUUUUGUAAAAGAAAAAGAAAAGAAAAGCAGUAUGAAUCGAGGCUUUAUAUGUGUCAUUUAAUCUAUUAAUGGUAACACAUCAUUUCUAAUGCUUUGUAUAUGAGUCCAAUAACAAUGACAUUUGGGUUGCCAGGUAGCAUAACUUUUAUAUUGAGGGGCUAUUAAGAUUAAUGAAAGCAGGAGAUCAUGACCAUUUAUGAACUGAUAUUCAUAGUUUAACAGCAGAAUGUAUUCAUCAAAAUUAUAUAAAGUGACCAUUUCAUUAAUAAAGGUCAUGAGUGCCCCCCCGACCUAAGCUCCACCAAACAAAAACAAAAUAAUAUUUAUCACUGAUUAUAUAAAGCAAUAACAGUGAUUUAUUCCUCUUAAUUGCAGCAAUGACAACAAGCUCAGUUAAAAGAGGCCUUGUGAGAAAGUGGUAGCUUUUGUUUGCAUAGAGAGUAAGCUUUGGUGUGACACCGUCAUGCUGCCACGUCGACUGUAAAGUGUGCCGGACUAAUCGUAUCCCGCUCGGAACGUGAACACUUCAUUCAGACGCACCAGCGUGGCAGCAGCAUCCGGGCGGUUAUACGUUUACCUUUGAUUUUGAAUUGUUUCAGUUUACGACUGCCGGUCAGACUACAGCUGCAGCCGGUGCUUUGAGGACAGCCAAUUACCGAUCCAAGGGUCAUUUCUGAAGAGAACACUUUGAAACAAUGCCAAACAUGAAAAAGACUUCCCCCUGCUCAGUGGAGCGCACUUGAUACCGAGGCACUGAUGCGCGGGGGGGGGGGCAAACUCGCCUCUGAUUCUGGGUUGGCUGGAUGAGACACAGGAAGUGCGAGCUGACUCUGGCUCCAGGGCCGGCUCUGUGUAAACGCUGCGACAUGCGCUUACAUGCGCCAGCAGUCAAACAUACAUUCCACUGUUGAAAGGAAUGCAAACACGAAAACACACUUAUUAUGCCGAUGCAUAAAGGAAGCACUCGUGUGUGAACUCAACGUACAUAAACACCGUUAAAGACCUGCACAUAUUGCCUUCCUAUACGCUCUGCUUUCACUCUCUCCUCCUCCUCUUUCCUUCAUCACUUUUUUUUUUUUUUGCAAUCAUGGAAAACAUUCAAGAUCUCACCUCCUCCACAAUCAUUUCCUCAGCAUCAUCACUCGCCCCUUCGAAAGAGAGGCGGUGUGUUUUACACAUGGCCAGAGCACUUUUGAAUUAAACGCAGGUUAAAAGGUCAUGAGCACUGCGCAGGGAUAUUGCAAACAGAAUGGGGGAAACAGGGCAAAGCCAAAGACGAAAGGGAACUUAAUUGCGCUGUCACCCUACCCUCCUCUGAUGCCUCUUUCCACCGAGGUUAGUGGGAGGCCCCCUCUGCCCCCUCUUUCUCCCGUUCCCUUCGCAUCUGUCUGCUCCACAGAUGCUGCUCCGCUUGAUGUGAUGUGACAUUUAUUAAAGUCCAGCCUUCAGGACUGGUUGAUGG